rnacentral:lncRNA from 1 species
UGUGCCCUAGGUCUAACUCAUAUUGUUAUCAGAAAAAUAUAAGGUAUAAAAUAAAAUAAUCCUAGAAAAAUAAUUAAAAUGGACUUAUUACAACCCAAAACCAAAUAAUAAUAUUAAUAAGAUAAAACUUAUAAAGAACUAAAUCGGCUACUUAUUGCAAUUUAAUGAACCAGAAACAGUAGUGUGGCCAUCUCCGAGUCCCUCGCAGCUCCAAACCAUCUAAGCUUAGGGAUUACCUGCACAGUUAGAAACGGGGUGAGUUUACGAAAACUCAGUGUGUAAUCCCAAUAACAAAAAAUAGGGAAAACACAGUGUCAGUACAAUCUGGGCCAAAGCCCUAUUUAGUCUUGGCAUAUACUGGGCCGAAGCCUUUUGUUUAACGGUUACUGGGCCGAAGCCUUAUCAUAAAUCAUAUCUCUAGGCCGAAGCCUUUUCAUAAAUCAUAUCACUAGGCCGAAGCCUUUUCAUAAAUCAUAUCACUGGGCCGAAGCCUUACUGUAAACGGUAUGGCCCUUAGGCCCAUUUCAAUAUCACAUGUAAUGUCAAUGGAUGUAUGCAAGCCCAUUUGGGGAGACUACUCGACCCACCAUCCGCUACUCUCCACCCGUACCAACCAACACACCAUGUGGGGAAUGAUUCAACCCACCCAACCAGCACACCACUGGCAGCAUAGCUGCUUUAUCAUAUAUCUGGAGGCCUAGCCUCUUUUAAUAACUGGGGCAAAGCCCUUUUCGGUAAACUAGGGCAUAGCCCUUUUAGCACUUCCUCCAUUUAUAAAACCCAACCCAUGCAACAUGUCAUGUAUGCAGAAUGUCAUGCCCAUAUUUGAAUCAAACAAUCACAGUCAAGUCAUUCAUAUCACCAACAUAUAUUCACAAUCAAAUCCGUCAACCAAACAGUCCAAGUCAAUCACUUGCCCACAAGGGCAAAAUAGUCAUUUUCCACAUUAUAAGGGUAAUUUCAUAAUUUUACCAAAUAUCAGGGUUUUCCAUGUUCAUCAACAAUUAUCAAUAUUUUCGAGUGUUUAAACAAUGAUCUUUAACCCACUUUAUUAAACUCGGGCUUUUGGGCCCAAAACCUCUAAUGGGCCCUACGAAUGUCGAUUUAGCCCAUUAAGCCCACAUAAUCCAAAUUUUACAACAGUACUAACCGUGUUAACAUGCAACUUUUCCAGAUUCCAUUUUCUAUCAGUUUUACCCAAAUGGGCACAAAAGCCCAUUUGGCCCAAUUCCUACCCAUUGAGGCCCAACUUACCAUCGUGCAAAAAAUUGAGUUCUUACCCGUUUCAUCGAUCCAAACACCGAUCUUAUCGUAUUUAUCACAUCUAUACCCAAACGCAACAUUACAAGUUCCUGAAAUACCGGUAUUUUAGCAUUUCGGCUUCUCAGCAAAUAUUAAUCUAAGCUAUUACGAGGGUUAGUACACACCUGUUACGGGUUGAAGUUGAAACGUUUCCAUAAUCAAUCACCUACAAUAACCACCACUUGUCACUCAAACUUAACUAAUCCAAUAUCAAUAUAUGUAAAUCCUAAGCACAUCAGUCAUACGGAACAUAAGGGCAUAUUCGUCAUUUUACCAUACAAGGGUAUUACGGUCACUUUACCCUACAGGGGCUUUACGGUCUUUUUACCUAUUAGGGGUAUUUUAGUCUUUUCAUCCUACAAGGGUGUUUUGGUAAAUCUACAAACCAAGGGUAUUUCAGUAAUUUUGUAAACCAAGGGUAUUUCUGUAAUUUUGUAAAUCAGGGGUAUUUUGGUAAUUUUAUAAAUUGAGGGUAUUUCGGUAAUUUCACAAACCAGUGGUAUUUCAGUAAUUUUACAAAUUAGGGGUAUUUUGGUAAUUCUAUCCUAUAGGGGUAUUUUAGUAAUUUCACAAUCGAGGGUAAAACGAUAAUUUUGUAAACUGAGGGUAAAAUGGUAAUUUUAUAAAUCAAGGGUAAAACAGUAAUUUUGUAAAUCAAGGGUAAAAUGGUAAUUUUAUAAAUUGAGGGUAAAAUGGUAAUUUUGUAAACUGAGGGUAAAAUGGUAAUUCUACAAAUUGAGGGCAUUUCAGUAAUUUGGUAAGCUAAAGUAUUCUAAAUAGGGAUAACAAUACGAAUGGGCCUAAACCCUAUUCUCGGCCCAAAUGGGCCCACACGCUAGUGUAGCCCUUUUAGCCCAAAUCUAGCCACAAAUAUGAGAUUCACCUAGCCUAGUCCAAUAUUUACUGCACAAUCAAACAACUUAUCAAUUGGGCCCGUAGGCCCAUUAGGCCCACAUGACCCCUUUUGGCCCAUCGCGGCUCGAAGUAGCCAUCCUACAGCUAGAGUAGCGAGAAAAUACACACCUGAUAGGAGACUGGAGUUAAUCCACACUUCGAGCACUCUUAGCCGACGCCCAACCCAAACGAGCACGCCAUACAGCGAAAGGGAUCAGCCAAGAAAAGG